rnacentral:tRNA from 1 species
GGAAUAUGGCUCAGUUGGUAGAGUGCAUGCCUUGAAAGCAUAAGGCCCUGGGUUUGAUCCCCAGCACCA